GUGCUUUCUAGAGGUGGAGGGAAAGGAGGAAUGAGGAGUUAUUUACUAGGUACAGAGUGUCAGUUUUGCAAGAUGAAAAGAGUUCUGGA